rnacentral:rRNA from 1 species
CCUACGGGGGGCAGCAGUGGGGAAUAUUGCACAAUGGGGGGAACCCUGAUGCAGCGACGCCGCGUGGGCGAUGGAGUAUUUCGGUAUGUAAACCACUUUUGUAGAGAACGAAAAGACACCUUCGAAUAAAGGGUGUUGCUGACGGUACCCUAAGAAUAAGCACCGGCUAACUACGUGCCAGCAGCCGCGGUAAUACGUAGGGUGCGAGCGUUAAUCGGAAUUACUGGGCGUAAAGGGUGCGCAGGCGGUUGAGUAAGACAGAUGUGAAAUCCCCGAGCUUAAAUC